rnacentral:rRNA from 1 species
UUAAAGAAAGCGUAAUAGCUCACUGGUCGAGUCGGCCUGCGCGGAAGAUGUAACGGGGCUAAACCAUGCACCGAAGCUGCGGCAGCGACACUAUGUGUUGUUGGGUAGGGGAGCGUUCUGUAAGCCUGCGAAGGUGUGCUGUGAGGCAUGCUGGAGGUAUCAGAAGUGCGAAUGCUGACAUAAGUAACGAUAAAGCGGGUGAAAAGCCCGCUCGCCGGAAGACCAAGGGUUCCUGUCCAACGUUAAUCGGGGCAGGGUGAGUCGACCCCUAAGGCGAGGCCGAAAGGCGUAGUCGAUGGGAAACAGGUUAAUAUUCCUGUACUUGGUGUUACUGCGAAGGGGGGGACGGAGAAGGCUAUGUUAGCCGGGCGACGGUUGUCCCGGUUUAAGCAUGUAGGCUGGUUAUCCAGGCAAAUCCGGAUAAUCAAGGCUGAGGUGUGAUGACGAGGCACUACGGUGCUGAAGUAACAAAUGCCCUGCUUCCAGGAAAAGCCUCUAAGCAUCAGGUAACAUCAAAUCGUACCCCAAACCGACACAGGUGGUCAGGUAGAGAAUACCAAGGCGCUUGAGAGAACUCGGGUGAAGGAACUAGGCAAAAUGGUGCCGUAACUUCGGGAGAAGGCACGCUGGUGUGUAGGUGAAGUCCCUGCGGAUGGAGCUGAGACCAGUCGAAGAUACCAGCUGGCUGCAACUGUUUAUUAAAAA